UACGUAGGGUGCGAGCGUUAAUCGGAAUUACUGGGCGUAAAGCGUGCGCAGGCGGUUUGUUAAGACAGAUGUGAAAUCCCCGGGCUUAACCUGGGAACUGCAUUUGUGACUGGCAAGCUAGAGUAUGGCAGAGGGGGGUAGAAUUCCACGUGUAGCAGUGAAAUGCGUAGAGAUGUGGAGGAACACCGAUGGCGAAGGCAGCCCCCUGGGUCAAGAUUGACGCUCAUGCACGAAAGCGUGGGGAGCAACAGG
rnacentral:rRNA from 1 species